rnacentral:tRNA from 1 species
GGUGGCUCAGUGGUAGAGUGCUUGCCUGGCAUUCAUGAGGUCCUGGGUUCAAUUCCUCAGCACCA